rnacentral:rRNA from 1 species
GCUUACGGUCAUAUCUCGUUGAAUGCAUCGAUUCUCGUCUGAUUACCGAAGUUAAGCAACGCCAAGCCUAUUUAGUACUUAGAUGGAUCACUGUAUCUC